AGAGUUUGAUCCUGGCUCAGAUUGAACGCUGGCGGAAUGCUUUACACAUGCAAGUCGAGCGGCAGCGCGGGGGCAACCCUGGCGGCGAGCGGCGAACGGGUGAGUAAUACAUCGGAACGUACCCUGUCGUGGGGGAUAACUAACCGAAAGGUUGGCUAAUACCGCAUACGACCUGAGGGUGAAAGCGGGGGAUCGCAAGACCUCGCGCGAUAGGAGCGGCCGAUGUCAGAUUAGCUAGUUGGUGAGGUAAAGGCUCACCAAGGCGACGAUCUGUAGCGGGUCUGAGAGGACGGCCCGCCACACUGGAACUGAGACACGGUCCAGACUCCUACGGGAGGCAGCAGUGGGGAAUUUUGGACAAUGGGGGAAACCCUGAUCCAGCCAUUCCGCGUGAGUGAAGAAGGCCUUCGGGUUGUAAAGCUCUUUCGGCAGGAACGAAAAGGCGGGCUCUAACAUAGCCUGUUCAUGACGGUACCUGAAGAAGAAGCACCGGCUAACUACGUGCCAGCAGCCGCGGUAAUACGUAGGGUGCGAGCGUUAAUCGGAAUUACUGGGCGUAAAGCGUGCGCAGGCGGUUUUGUAAGACAGAUGUGAAAUCCCCGGGCUUAACCUGGGAACUGCGUUUGUGACUGCAAGACUUGAGUGCGGCAGAGGGGGGUGGAAUUCCACGUGUAGCAGUGAAAUGCGUAGAGAUGUGGAGGAACACCGAUGGCGAAGGCAGCCCCCUGGGUCGACACUGACGCUCAUGCACGAAAGCGUGGGUAGCAAACAGGAUUAGAUACCCUGGUAGUCCACGCCCUAAACGAUGCGAACUAGGUGUUGGGGAAGGAGACUUUCUUAGUACCGCAGCUAACGCGUGAAGUUCGCCGCCUGGGGAGUACGGUCGCAAGAUUAAAACUUAAAGGAAUUGAUGG
rnacentral:rRNA from 1 species